CGCAUUUUCCCCUAGUAACUGCGAGUGAAGCGGGAAAAGCUCAAAUUUAAAAUCUGGCGGUCUCUGGCCGUCCGAGUUGUAAUCUAGAGAAGUAAUGCCCGCGCUGGACCGUGUACAAGUCUCCUGGAAUGGGGCGUCAUAGAGGGUGAGAAUCCCGUCUCUGACACGGACUACCAGUGCGUUGUGGUAUGCUCUCAAAGAGUCGAGUUGUUUGGGAAUGCAGCUCAAAAUGGGUGGUAAAUUCCAUCUAAAGCUAAAUAUUGGCGAGAGACCGAUAGCGAACAAGUACCGUGAGGGAAAGAUGAAAAGAACUUUGGAAAGAGAGUUAAACAGUACGUGAAAUUGCUGAAAGGGAAACGCUUGAAGUCAGUCGCGUUGGCCAGGGAUCAGCCUCGCUCUUGCGUGGUGUACUUUCUGGUUGACGGGUCAGCAUCAAUUUUGACCGCUGGAAAAGGUCCUGGGGAAUGUGGCAGCUCCGGCUGUGUUAUAGCCCCUGGUCACAUACAGCGGUUGGGAUUGAGGAACUCAGCACGCCGCAAGGCCGGGUUUUUAACCACGUUCGUGCUUAGGAUGCUGGCAUAAUGGCUUUAAGCGACCCGUCUUGAAACACGGACCAAGGAGUCUAACAUGCCUGCGAGUGUUUGGGUGGAAAACCCAAGCGCGCAAUGAAAGUGAAAGUUGAGAUCCCUGUCGUGGGGAGCAUCGACGCCCGGACCAGAACUUUUGGGACGGAUCCGCGGUGGAGCAUGUAUGUUGGGACCCGAAAGAUGGUGAACUAUGCCUGAAUAGGGUGAAGCCAGAGGAAACUCUGGUGGAGGCUCGUAGCGGUUCUGACGUGCAAAUCGGGUCGGUCAAAUUGGGAGUAUAGGGGCGGAAAAGGACGUU
rnacentral:rRNA from 1 species